rnacentral:rRNA from 1 species
GAUCAACGCUGGCGGCGUGCCUAAUACAUGCAAGUCGAGCGAACAGACGAGGAGCUUGCUCCUCUGACGUUAGCGGCGGACGGGUGAGUAACACGUGGAUAACCUACCUAUAAGACUGGGAUAACUUCGGGAAACCGGAGCUAAUACCGGAUAAUAUAUUGAACCGCAUGGUUCAAUAGUGAAAGACGGUUUUGCUGUCACUUAUAGAUGGAUCCGCGCCGCAUUAGCUAGUUGGUAAGGUAACGGCUUACCAAGGCAACGAUGCGUAGCCGACCUGAGAGGGUGAUCGGCCACACUGGAACUGAGACACGGUCCAGACUCCUACGGGAGGCAGCAGUAGGGAAUCUUCCGCAAUGGGCGAAAGCUUGACGGAGCAACGCCGCGUGAGUGAUGAAGGUCUUCGGAUCGUAAAACUCUGUUAUUAGGGAAGAACAAAUGUGUAAGUAACUAUGCACGUCUUGACGGUACCUAAUCAGAAAGCCACGGCUAACUACGUG